rnacentral:lncRNA from 1 species
AGAAGAUCGAAUCAAUGCAGAUCCUAAAUCCCAAAUUUACAAACAAACCCUAAAAAUUCAGAGAUUCAACAAUACAAAGAUCGAAGAAGCCUUCGAUCAAAAUUCAAAAUCAGAAAGCCAAAUAUAAACAUAUCAAGCAGUAAUUGAAAUAAGGGGAUUUUCAUUCAUUCUAAAUCUCCAAAUUGAAAGUUCAAAACCUUCUCAACUUUAGAAUCCAAAUCAAAAUCAAGGUACAAUAAUUUCAUGAAUUUUGACACCUUCAUUAUCAUAUCAGAGAAGCUUCGGUUUGGAGGUUGUUCGAGGUGGAACCAUGGAAGCCUGGAUUUGGAAUAUGGAGGAGUCAUAGAGGUGUGGUGGUCGGUUGGACGUGUUGAGUCUGCUCAUAAAGGGAGGAGGAGAAGAGUAGAGUGUAGAGACGAUUCGAGAGAUUAAAGAGAGUGUUGAGUUUGUUGACAUAGCUGAGGAGGAGAGGAGAGAGUGCAAAGAUAUUUGAGAGGUUAGAGAAAGAGUGCAGGUGGUCUGAGUGAGAGGGAGUGCUGACACAUUUGAGAGAUUAGAGAGAGUGAGGUCUUUUACCCAACGGUUACAAUUUAUUCUAAUAUAUAUAAUAUAUGAUAAAUAAAUGUAUAAUAUGUAUACAAAUCGGUUCGGGAUUACCGAACAUCUGCCAACCAAGUCCCAAUUCCCGUACCGAAUUCCUAGGAUUUUUUCGGGAUUUUUCGGUUUUGAAUUCAGGAAUUUUCGGUCGGGUUCAGGUAAUUCGGGAUUUUUUUCCAACCCUAAUUCAGAUUAUUAUUAUUAUUAUUAUUAUUAUUAAUUUUUUAUUUUAUUUUUUUGCUUAGAAUUAGAAAAAAAAAACUUCAAAUUAAAUUACAUUCCCCAAUUAUAUUUUUAUGGUGUUGUUUCCCAAUAGUAGUCAAGAUGACGAGAGAUUUUUUAAUGUGUCUAGAACACAGGUGGGUGUUACACCAAGUAUCUCUAUAUAAGUGGUGAGAUUCUUUUGUUAAAAAAUUAAUAACAUAAAAUAUUAAAAUUUCCCACCACUUAUAUAAUAACACGUGGUGUACCACUUGUAUUACCGGCACAAGGAAAAAAAUCUAUCCAAGAUGACACACAUUAUCAAGAAAUUGGAUGACGAGCUCCAUUUAUUAUUGUAGGUAUGUAAAAAAUGUGAGGGAGUUUGAAUUUGGUAAUUGAAAACAACUUUUAAAAUAUAAUUACUGAGAACGUAAUAAUCUUCUCAAGGUUUUAAUCUAAAAGACCACUUAUAGGUUCAUCGUUUUCAGCGUAAUAUGUGCUUUUAUAGGACCAAAAAGGGUAUAAAUUUCAAAUUUUAUGAAACUGAACCAAGAAUUAUACAUUAUUUAUAAAACUUGACCAAUAAGUUGACACUAUUUAUGAAACUAGAUCAAUAACUAGACACUAUUUAUGAAACUGGACGAAUAAGUAGACAUUAUUUAUGAAACGAAACCAAGAAUUAGGCACUAUUUCUAAAACUAAACCAAUAUGUUGAAACUAUUUAUGAAACUAGACCAAGAACUAGGCACUAUUUGUGAAAGUUGACAAAUAACUAGAUACUAUUUAUGAAAUGGGACAAAGAAAGAAACACUAUUUAUGAAACUGUACUAAUUACUAUACACUAUUAAUGAAACUAGACGAAUAAGUAGACACUAUUUAUGAAACAAAAACAAGAAUUAGGCACUAUUUCUGUUGAUGCACAAAAUCAGUGAGGACUUUGGUACAACAGAAAGUGUUAAGUUUGUGACAUUCGCUAGAUUGCUCUGGUCACUAGUGUGGAUAAGUAAGUAAAUGGAUAGGGACAGGGAAGCAAACACAAGAUGUACGUGGUUCACCC